AGAUAGAAACCGACCUGGCUCACGCCGGUUUAAACUCAGAUCAUGUAAAAUUUUAAAGGUCGAACAGACCUAAUUUAUUAGCUUCUACACCAAUAAUUAACUUUAAUCCAACAUCGAGGUCGCAAUCUAUUUUUUCGAUAAGAACUCUAAAAAAAAUAACGCUGUUAUCCCUAAGGUAAUUUAAUCUUAUAAUCUAAACUAUAGGAUCAUAAAAAUACAAAUAAAUAUUCUAUUUAACAAGAAAAGUUAAUUCAAUUUUCCUAUCACCCCAACAAAAUAAAUAAAAUGAAAUUCAAAUAAAUAAAUUCCUAAUACUCAAAUAUCCAUCCAAUUUAUAAAACUCUAUAGGGUCUUCUCGUCUUCUAUAUAAAUUUAAGCUUUUUUACUUAAAAAUAAAAUUUUAAUAAAAUUUAAUUGAGACAGUCACUCCCUCAUCAAACCCUUCAUACAAGCUUUUAAUUAAAAAACUAGUGAUUAUGCUACCUUUGCACGGUCAAUAUACCGCGGCCAUUUAAUUCAAAUCAGUGGGCAGGCCUGACCUGAAAUUAUCAUCAACAAGCCAUGUUUUUAAUAAC
rnacentral:rRNA from 1 species